ensembl:lncRNA novel transcript
CCCCACCACCACCAGUAUAAAAUGUCCCGAAAUUUUCAAUGUACAUGAAUUUUGGUAACAUUAAAUCUGUAACUAAUUUGUUUUGUCACUAAAACUUUCAGAAAAGAUAUAUUUUAAUAUUACACUUAUUAAUAAGCGUUUUGUACAUUCAUUCACAAUGGAUGACUUUUUUUUUUGAGACAGAGUCGCCCUGUCGCCCAGGCUGAUUGUAUAACUAACUGCACGUCACUCAUAAAUAAGUAUCUGUGAAUACAAAGAAUGGUAAUUAAUUUUCUCAUUUUGAAUCAGACAUAUGUAACUGCCAGUUACAGAUACUUAAUAGUUUAACAUUUAUUGUGAGUGCCUACUAUAUGCCACGCAUGCUAAAAUAUUUGAUGAUAAAAGGACAAAUAACAGAAGGUCAGGGUUCAUGCCUUUUUCUUUUUUUCCUGAAAUGUUAACACUUAUUUAUUCUCUG